GGGAUGUGGGAUAUUUCUGAUCUAUCAGUCAAGCAAUCAGUUCGCGUUCGCUCUCGCAGAAAAUACAAAAUAGCGUUGAAAGCCGACUGUUCGGGACAGCUACCAAGGAAUUAAUAAGUGACUCUAGCGAGAUGCCCGCCAGCGAUAUCAUUACUUUCUGAUUAAAGCAAGAUAAAUAUCUCCGAUCUCUUUCGUCUGAUCUCUCGGUGAAUCAAUCGUUUUCUGACGUCAUUGAGUCGACGGGAGUAAAAGGAAAUCGAUGGAUGUACGAUGAUACGCGUAGAUAUCCCAGAUCUUCGAGCUCAUGUUCCGGGAGUAUGGAAGACGUUGGAUGCCAUGGUUCUCUCAACAAUCAGAAACCUGUUUCCAGAGUGAAACCUCUCCGGCUGGAACCUCUUUACUGUACGUUCCUUCUUUUCUUCCUCGUCGUCUUCCUUUUCCUCUCGCUUUCGCCCUUCGUCCCACCCCCU